AGAACACGAGUAGACGAUAAAGAACACGAGUAGAGGAUAAAAGAACACGAGUAGAGACGAUAAAAGAACACGAGUAGAGGAUAAAAGAACACGAGUAGAGACGAUAAAAGAACACGAGUAGAGGAUAAAGAACACGAGUAGAGACGAUAAAAGAACACGAGUAGAGACGAUAAAAGAACACGAGUAGAGACGAUAAAAGAACACGAGUAGACGAUAAAAGAACACGAGUAGAGGAUAAAAGAACACGAGUAGAGACGAUAAAGAACACGAGUAGAGGAUAAAAGAACACGAGUAGAGGAUAAAAGAACACGAGUGAGGAUAAAAGAACACGAGUAGAGGAUAAAAGAACACGAGUAGAGGAUAAAAGAACACGAGUAGAGGAUAAAAGAACACGAGCAGAGGAUAAAAGAACACGAUUAGAGGAUAAAAGAACACGAGUAGAGGAUAAAAGAACACGAGUAGAGGAUAAAAGAACACGAGUAGAGCGAUAAAAGAACACGAGUAGAGACGAUAAAAGAACACGAGUAGAGGAUAAAAGAACACGAGUAGAGGAUAAAAGAACACGAGUAGAGGAUAAAAGAACACGAGUAGAGGAUAAAAGAACACGAGCUAGACGAUAAAAGAACACGAG
ensembl:lncRNA